rnacentral:ncRNA from 2 species
CUCUUAUCCCGAGCUGGUGGAGGGACAGGCCCUAUGAAACCCAGCAACCAUCACCAUACUUUAUAUUUUUUUACUUGGUGAUAAGGUGCUAACCUGAUGCAAGGGGAAAGCCCUUGAUCGAUAAGAG